rnacentral:rRNA from 1 species
CACGUAGGGUGCGAGCGUUGUCCGGAAUUAUUGGGCGUAAAGAGCUCGUAGGCGGUGUGUCGCGUCGGCCGUGAAAACCUGCAGCUUAACUGUGGGCUUGCGGUCGAUACGGGCAUCACUGGAGUUCGGCAGGGGAGACUGGAAUUCCUGGUGUAGCGGUGAAUGCGCAGAUAUCAGGAGGAACACCGGUGGCGAAGGCGGGUCUCUGGGCCGUUAUGACGCUGAGGAGCGAAAGCGUGGGGAGCGAACAGG